AGUUUCUGCACAUUUGUCAUUUGGCCACCCUCCAGGACCUCAGUAAGGUCAAGAGGAAUGUGGUCCUCACUCAACCGAUCAGAAGAGAUUACCCCACAACACAGAUCACAUGACUGUUGUAUUCGACCAAUCAGCAGAGACCUGGCAUGCAUCCAACUUCCUGUUUUCUCUGAAGUCUGAAAAAGACGCCCAUGUGGCUCGACUCACCGUACAUUUCUGUACAGAACGUCAAAACCAACAGUGGUAAGUUGAUGAAACUCGCAUGUUUUAUUGUUGGGUAGUUGUACUCAGUGAUGACACGUAUGUUGUUUGUGGAGGACUUCAUGAAUUUAGUGAAAUCAUGACGUGACAUCAUUAUGUUGUCCAUUUUUGGACAUCUGACCAAUGCAACUAACAUUUAAUACUUUGAGCAUUUUCUUAAUAAAUAAAGCAGAACAACUCAGGACAUUAUGUUUUAAUGUUGUCAAAGGUUUUAUAACUACAGUGAAAUAUUUUUCUAGAAAUAUUGAAGCUGUAAAUAGUGAAUAUGAGGGAUUUUUGUCCGUUUGUGACCUUUUAACAUUUGUUAUAUUGUGUGUAAUUUUUAGGUCAUGUCUGCCCCGAUGUUUUGUGCCAAGAGGAGAGAAAGUGUUGUCGUGCUAGCCCACCCUGCCAUCAGUGAUGAAGACGAGGAGGACGAUGAUGAUUUGUCCCGUCUCACUAAAUGAGGAUGUGCAUUUUCAUCUGUCCUUCUUUCAUGCCCCUGUACAUGCCAAACACCAGACCUGCGAGCUCUGCAUGAGGUCUGCAGAGUCACUAAGGUCCACCUUUGCAUGAACAGUCACAGCUUUAUUAGGUACCACGACAAACCGGCCUCAUGGUGUCUGAAGUGAUUCUGCUGACAGGUGUCUGUAUCAGCACUUCUAUCGUGUUCCUUUCACCUUAUGUGUGUUUUUCUUGUAUUUUUAAUUUUUACAAUUCUUGGAUUUUUUUUUACCACUUCAUUAACUUUCAUUUUCUACAUGACAUUAAACAAUUUUUCAACAGAAUUGAAGUUUUGUUAUGACCUGCAGUAACACUCUAAGGUUGGUUUUUAAAGUAUUUCAGUGACUUCCCUAUAAACGGUAAAUGGAAAAAAAGCUGAACUGAAGCCACAAAGGAGUGCAGACGAAAACGGGUGUAAGCUCGCCUGACCCAAAUUACAAACACAUUCACUUGUAACACGCCUUCUUUGGUCGGCGUAGAACUGGUUUUCU